CUAAGCCAGAAGGAAGUGAACUCUUUAGGAGAUUUAGUGCCUUUCAGCAACAAAUUAUACUCUGGAAACUUGGAAAAGAGAUUAGGGAUAACUGCAGGCUUAUGUGUGCUCAUACAGCAUGUUCCUGAGAAAAAGGGUGACAGAUAUGAGGCCAUUUACAGCUUCUACUUUGGAGACUAUGGCCAUAUAUCAGUUCAAGGAGCUUAUCUCACAUACCAAGACACAUACCUUGCUGUUACAGGAGGUUCUGGAAUCUUUGAAGGUGUCUAUGGACAAGUCAAACUUCAACAACUUGUGUUCCCUUUCAAGUUGUUCUACACCUUCUACUUGAAGGGUAUUCCUGAUUUGCC
rnacentral:lncRNA from 1 species